rnacentral:rRNA from 1 species
AUUGAACGCUGGCGGCAGGCUUAACACAUGCAAGUCGAGCGAGCGGCGGACGGGUGAGUAAGGUCUGGGCAACUGACUGGUGGAGGGGGAUAACUACCGGAAACGGUAGCUAAUACAGCAUACCAUCAGCGGUGCCCAGAUGGGAGGCGCUAGUAGGUGGGGUAAGGGCGCACCUAGGCGACGAUCCCUAGCUGGUCUGAGAGGAUGACCAGGCCACCGUGAACUGAUGCCCGGGCCAGAAUCCUACAGGAGGCAGCAGUGGGGAAUCUUCCGCAAUGGACGAAAUGCUGACGGAGCAACGCCGCGUGAGUUAUGACGGCCUUCGGGUUGUAAAGUCUUUUAAGCGGGACGACGUUACCGGAAUAGAAAGCCACGGCUAACUACGUGCCAGCAGCCGCGGUAAUAC